GUGCUUGCUUCAGCAGCACAUAUACUAAAAUUGGAAUGAUACAGAGAAGAUUGGCAUGGUCCCUUUGCAAGGGUGACACGCAAAUCUGUGAAGUGUUCCAUAUUUUU